GGUGGUUGUAGCUCAGUUGGUUAGAGCGCCUGAUUGUGGUUCAGGAGGCCGUGGGUUCGAAUCCCAUCUUCCACCC
rnacentral:tRNA from 1 species